AGUGUUUUUUUAACUACGGCAACCGUUUACAUGCAGAAGAUAAAGUGUCGGGACAAAUUUUUUUUUUUCAUUUUAUAGUACAUAAAAUAAGCUUUAAUUUGAUAUAUGUUUAAAGGACGCAGUAUUUCCGGAACAUUUUCAAAAAUUAAGUUGAAAAAUUAGUUUUUGUAAAAAAGUUGCAAUUUUAAAUCCCCCCCCAUGAGCAGGUUAAGUGUUAAAUUUUCAAAAAAAUUAUAUCAAAUGAAAGGAAAAUAUCUAAGGUUUUAGUUUAAAAAAAAAUUAUGUUGAUUUGUUGAUUUUUGAAAAAGUUAUGGAAGUUUUAAGAAAAAAAAGUGAAAAAAAUGACAAAAUUUGUCGAUUUUUAAAUUUGUAAUUUUUUUGGAUAUUUCCCCCAUUUGCGGGGAACGAGGGAAAAUUUUUAAAUUUUUAAGGGUAAUGUCUUCAACUAGAUACAAUUUGUGAUCUUUUGACGUAUUGUUAAAAGAAAUCGGUCCAGUGAGAGCUGAGAAAAAGUAGUGACAGACACAAAAAAAAAAAUAAACACAUCAUAGUAAAAUUAAUACCUUCUCAGCUUCGCAUCGAAGCUAAAAUUU